rnacentral:rRNA from 1 species
AGCAUCAUACUAAAUAGAGUUAAAUUUUAAUUAAACUGUAAAAAGCCAUAAUUAUAACAAAAAUAAAUGACGAAAGUAACCCUACAAUAGCUGAUACACCAUAGCUAAGACCCAAACUGGGAUUAGAUACCCCACAA